rnacentral:ncRNA from 2 species
CAUGAAAAACAGGGGAGCCGAAAGGCUGAGAGGAAGCGCCGCUUCGACCCUUUUACCUGAUGUGGGUAAUGCCACCGUAGGAAGUUUUCAUGGAAGCUCC